rnacentral:rRNA from 1 species
AUACGGAGGAUCCGAGCGUUAUCCGGAUUUAUUGGGUUUAAAGGGUGCGCAGGCGGCCAUUUAAGUCAGCGGUUAAAUCGUGGGGCUCAACCCCAUUCUGCCGUUGAUACUGGGUGGCUUGAUUGCGGUCGAGGUUGGCGGAAUUCGUUGUGUAGCGGUGAAAUGCAUAGAUAUGACGAAGAACACCGAUUGCGUAGGCAGCUGACCAGACCGCAAAUGACGCUCAUGCACGAAAGUGCGGGGAUCGAACAGGAUUAGAUACCCUGGUAGUCCGCACAGUAAACGAUGAAUACUUGUUUUCGGCGAUAUAAUGUCGGAGGCAAAGCGAAAGCAAUAAGUAUUCCACCUGGGGAGUACGCCGGCAACGGUGAAACUCAAAGGAAUUGACGGGG